GCUUACGACCACACCGGCCUGAGUACGCCUGAUCUCGUCUGAUCUAGGAAGCUAAGCAGGGUCGGGCCUGGUUAGUACUUGGAUGGGAGACCUCCUGGGAAUACCAGGUGCUGUAAGCU
rnacentral:rRNA from 1 species